GCUGGAAUCAGCUGCUGCAACCACAGCCUUUCCCUCAGUUGUUAAUCCUGGAUUGCCAUUGAAGACGGUGGGAGCAGUUCCGGUUGUUGGAUUGCCGUUGAAGAGAGUAGAAGUCUGUAUGGGAGGCAAAUGCAAGAAAUCAGGAGGAGCUGUGUUGUUGGAUGAGUUUCAGAAGGCGAUGACUGGUAUUGAAGGAUCCGCUGUGGGUUGCAAGUGCAUGGGUAAGUGUAGAGAUGGUCCGAACGUUAGAGUCGUUAACGAGACGGAUGCUGUGAUGACUGAUUCAGUUAGAACGCCUUCCAAGACCGUUUGUGUAGGAGUUGGGUUGCAGGAUGUGGAAACUAUUGUCACAAGUUUUGUUGGUGAAGAAUUUUAGUAUUUCUCAUAUUGAAAGAGUUUAAUAAUGAUCGAAGUUAUAUAUGUAGUGUGGUGUUCUCUCAUUGUACACAUCUGUCUUCGUGUGCAUUUCGGGUGGAACAUAUUCCAUAAUAUAAACAGAUCUUUUCUGUACUUUGGUCUUGACAAUGAAAAUAUGUUUGCAUAGAUCAACUUAGGCAAAGCGCUUAGCCGUAACGAUCUAAUAAGAUUAAAACUACUAUAGAUCAUUUGUUUGCACUAAACUAUAUCAUGUGUUUCUUCGAGCAACAAAAAUAUAGAUGGGAUCUUGCAUGAUUUUGGUUUCAGCGCUUCAAGAAUGGGUCUAGAGUUUUGCUGCUUUGAGCAGCUGUUUCUUGGUUUUGUUGGACUCUCUAUCAAAGCAUUCUCUUGCCCGUCAAUCAUCUGGAUUGCAGAUUGUGAGAUCUAAUGAUAUCUUUACAGUUCCAAUGCAAAACCUUCAUGGCUCCGCUGGUGGUUUGAGGAGAACCACCAAACCUUGAUCAACAUCAACAGGUUCCACUAACUCAAUCCGCUUUGGAUCACAAGUAGAGUCUUAUGUAGUAUCGUCUGGCGUUUUAUGUUUAGUACUUUGUUCUGUCUCAUGUGAAGGUGAUCCUAGUUCAAUAAACUUGUCACUAUUGUUCCUUCUGCUCUCUUCCCACUUACUUCAGCUUGCCAACCACUCUGAGAUGUUGAAUCAAUCUGCAUACCUUCAGAGCUUCAGUAGUUCCUGAGUUUUCACCUUGCUUCUUUAUUAUUUGGAUUGCCGCAUUCCUAUCAUGUGCAGAAGCAUAAGGAUUUGUUCAUCUGUCCAUCAGCUCAAACCUUUGUUGUGAUAGUAAAGCUGAAUCCUUACAGACUUCGAACUCAUGUUGCAGACUGUUAGACAUGAGAGUUUGAGACCACCUAUUCUGUUUGAGUAUACGAGGAGGAAGAAGGUGAGUCAGCAAAAAGAGAACGUUGAGGUUAUGGAUGACGCAUGUGACGGGGAAAGGGAGGUUGUUGGGAACACCUGAGCUCUAGGGACUAAUAAGGAAUAAAGGGAAUCAGGGGUGAUGCGCUGGCGUGUCGGUUAGCAAGAGCACAUGGGAUGUUGGAUCGGGAGACUGCUUUAUAUAUUUGUAUAAUGAUUGCAUUUGUCUUUUAUCAAGAGAUUUGAUCAAGUUGUUAAACGGGGGAGGAGAGAGACUCCCAAUAUUAAUUCUCUCAAACCUUGUAAUCGACUUUAUCAUUUCUAUAUAAUCAUCUUUUCCUUACAACUCAUAACAAACUUGGUAUCAGAGCUGUUCUUUGCUGGGGACCAUGGCGCCGGGAAAGUUAGCAGAGGUUGAGGCGACGGUGGAGAGUAUGAUGGAGGACGUGAGAAAGAUCGGAGCACUUGAGCGAUCUUUGGAAACCCUCAAGGAGAGCGUUACUGAGAUCCACAGCCGCAUGAGUGUUUUAGAUCGACUGGAGAAACGAAUGAACGAAGAGGAGGAGGAACGGAAGAGGGAGUUUGCGGCUUUGUUCCAAGCAAAGCAGCAAGCAAACGCUGUUGACGGGGGUUCGAGGACGAUUCAACGGCCCGGUAAACAGAUCGCGGGGGAAGAGGGGCAGAGCGGACUCUUCCGAGCUGAUACGUCAGAGAGGAGGUUCGAGUCCGUGACAAUAACCGGAGGAGGACGGCGAGAGGAGGAAUACGGUGGCCCACAACACUCUGGCGACUCGCAUAACAGAGUGUGGGUGGAGUACCGAGACAAGCAUGACGAGAGAAAGCUGAAGAUUCCUCUCGUCAGCGGCGAGAACGUGGAGAGUUGGGUCCUCCGCGUUGAGCAAUACUUUGAGUUAGGGGAGUACUUGGAGGAGAAGAAGCUACAGCUGGUGCGGAUGUGUUUCGAUGACGAUGCUCUAUUGUGGUACCGUUGGGAGCGAGAUCGAAAUCCGUUCGAGAGCUGGGAGCAGCUGAAGUAUCGAGCCCUGGAGCAGUUUUCUACUACGCAUGAGAUCACGGCCAGGGAACGUUUACUGACGUUGAAACAGACGGAAACGGGGAGGGAGUAUUUUAGGGAUUUUAUCUCUUUGGCUACUAACGCGCCGGAGCUAACGAACGAGGUGCUCGAGACGGCUUUUAUGAUCGGCUAAAACCCCAGAUUAAAGCAGGGGUGAAGAUGCUCGAGCCUAGAAACCUUCGGAAUAUGAUGAGCUUGGCCAAGCUGGUGGAGGAGUGGUCUGGAUUCGCCGACCCGUCGUCGGAAGGCCUCCCGGCGAAAGGGUUUAAGGGAGGAGGGUCGUUUAGUGGGUCGACCAGGGUAUCGGGCCGGACGGGUUUCAACAGUCAUGCUGGGACCGGGCCCAAUAACCAAAAGCCCAAACAGGCGACAACCCCAGAUAAAACCCAAGGCCCAAUAAGGAGACAGAAUAACCAAGGCCCUAACAAUCAGGGUAGAGGUAACGAGCGGCGACUCUUUCCGGCGGAAUACGCGCGAUAUAAGGCGGAGGGGCUUUGCUAUCAAUGCGGAGGGAGGUUCCACGCUAGACAUGUCUGUCCAAAUAAGGAGCUUAUGGUGUUGGUCAUUCAGGAUGAGGAGGAUGAGGAAGUAGAGGAGGAAGAGGAGGCGCAGAAUGAGGAGGAAGAAGCCCAAGAUUUCGCGGAGUGUGCCGCGUUGUCAACCCGUUCCGCCAUGGGCAUCUCCACUCCUCGAACUAUCAAAAUGAGAGGGAUGGUGAGAGGUGUCACGGCAACAGUCUUGAUUGAUAGCGGGGCGACCCAUAAUUUCAUCGACAUCAAGUUGAUGGAGCAAUUGGGAUUGGAGGCGGAUGAUACUAGGAGUUUUUGAGUAAUCACGGGGUCUGGAAAAGCAGUCAAGGGAUUCGGAGUCUGUCGUGAGGUUACUUUGAAGUUGGGAGAUUACGAGGUGACCUCUGAAUUCCUACCACUGGAGCUUAACAAUGUAGAUGUUAUUUUGGGAAUCCAAUGGUUGGAGACACUCGGGGAGAUGAGAGUGAAUUGGAAGCUACAGACUAUGAAGGUACCUUACGAAGGGAGAGUCGUGACGUUGCAGGGGCAGCCAGAGCUGUGUAGCUCGGAAGUCUCUUGUAAGGCUAUGAAAAGGCUACUGGAGAAGCAAGAAGUGGGGAUGAUAAUCGAGUGUAGAGAGGUCUCGAUCGAGAAAGGAUGGACACAGGGAACGCCUAAGGAGAUGACUUCUGUGCUUAAGGGAUUCACUCAGGUCUUCGACGAACCUGAUGGGCUGCCACCAUCGCGUGGGAGGGAGCACGCCAUUAAUUUGAUCCAAUAAAGCGACCCAGUAAGCGUUAGGCCUUUCCGCUAUCCUCAGGCGCAGAAAGCCGAGAUAGAGAGGCAGGUGACGUUGAUGCUCAAAGCGGGGAUCAUACAAGAAAGUGUCAGCCCCUUCUCGAGUCCUGUGCUGCUGGUUAAGAAAAAGGACGGAAGCUGGCGCUUUUGCGUUGACUAUAGGGCGCUGAAUAAAGCGACCAUCAUGGACAGCUACCCGAUACCGAUGAUAGAUUAGCUUCUGGAUGAGUUGCAUGGUGCGGAAGUGUUCUCCAAGCUGGAUCUCAGGUCAGGGUAUCAUCAGAUUCUCGUAAAGACGGAGUACGUUCCCAAGACAGCAUUCAGGACGCACGAUGGGCACUAUGAGUUCCUGGUAAUGCCGUUUGGGCUGUCGAAUGCUCCGGCUACCUUUCAGUCGCUCAUGAACGAGGUGUUUCGACCAUACCUAAGGCAAUCCGUCUUGGUAUUUUUCAAUGAUAUCUUAGUAUAUAGCAAGAACAUGAAGGAGCACGUCACCCACGUGAGGAGGGUUUUGGAAAAACUAAAGCAACAUCAGCUUUUCGCCAAUAGGAAGAAAUGCGAGUUUGGCUGCACCCGUAUUGAGUAUCCGGGUCAUGUUAUCACCGCAGAGGGAGUAGCAACAGAUGAUAACAAGCUUCGCGCGAUGACAGAAUGGCCCAUACCGAGAAACAUAAAAGAGUUAAGGGGGUUUCUCGGCCUAACAGGCUACUACAGGAAAUUUGUUCAAAGCUAUGGUAUGAUUGCCAGACCGCUUACAGAGUUGCUGAAGAAGGACAAUUUCGUGUGGGGGGAGAAGCCUGCUGAAGCGUUUGAUAAACUUAAGCGAGCUAUGGUGUCAGUUCCUGUGUUGGCUCUUCCAGAUUUCGAUGAGCAGUUUGUAGUCGAGUCUGAUGCGUCGGGAACAGGGUUGGGAGCGGUACUCAUGCAGAAGCAGAGGCCGAUAGCGUACUUCAGUCAAGCUUUAUCAGACCGACAGAGACUCAAGUCAGUUUACGAAAGGGAGUUGAUGGCGAUCGUCUUCGCUAUCCAGAAGUGGCGCCACUAUCUAUUAGGGAGGAAGUUUCUGGUACGCACUGACCUAAAGAGCCUCAAGUUUCUCUUAGAGCAGAGAGAGAUCAACAUGGAGUAUCAAAGGUGGCUCUCAAAUCUAUUGGGAUUUAAAUUUGAAAUCCAAUACAAACCGGGGUUAGAAAACAAGGCUGCUGAUGCUCUCUCGAGGCGUGGUGUUGCUGCGGAACUCAUGGCUCUAUCAGUUCCAACAGCAGUACAGUUUCAUGAUGUGGAGGAUGCUGUGUCACGGGAUCCCGAGAUACAGAAGAUUCGUGACAUGAUCAAGGCGGACCCUUCUUCCCAUCCGGAGUUCACAUUGAAUCAAGGGAAACUGCUACGCAAGGGAAAGCUGGUCUUACCAAGAGAAUCACAGUUGGUGGGAGUGAUUCUUAGAGAAUUGCAUGAUGGGAAAGCGGGGGGUCAUGGGGGAGUCUUACGCACUCAGAAGAAGUUCAGUGACUUGUUUUACUGGACUGGAAUGCUGUCGGAUAUCCGCAAAUAUGUGGCGGCAUGCUCAGUGUGUCAGUGCCACAAGUACUCAACGCUGGCGCCUAGCGGAUUGCUUCAGCCACUAGCUAUUCCAGGGGCAAUAUGGGAGGACGUUGCAAUGGACUUUGUAGAAGGUUUGCCGCGAUCUGAGAGGAUCAACGCCAUCUUGGUAGUGAUUGAUCGCUUGUCCAAGUAUGCUCACUUCAUUGGAUUGAGCCAUGCUUUCACCGCAGUAGAUGUGGCAGUAUUGUUUGUCCAAGAGGUGAUCAAACUUCAUGGUUUCCCAAAGACCAUCGUGUCUGAUCGAGACAAGGUAUUCACAAGCCUGUUUUGGAAGGAAUUGUUUAGGCUCGCAGGAACUAAGCUAUGUAUGAGCACGGCAUAUAAUCCUCAAUAAGACGGUCAGACGGAGGUAACAAAUCGCGGGUUGGAAACGUACUUGAGGUGUUACUCCAGUGACAAGCCUAAGACAUGGUUUAGGUAUUUUCCUUGGGCGAAGCUGUGUUACAACACGUAGUUUCAUUCGGCUAUCAAGAUGACACCGUUUAAAGCGGUAUACGGAAGAGACCCUCCAUCACUCCUCAAGUACGAGGAAGGGUCAACUACGAAUGCAGACUUGGAGAGUAAGUUGAUGGAGCGCGAUGGUGAGCUUGCGCUGUUGAGGGAACAUAUCAGCAUGGCCCAGCAGGUGAUGAAAAGGCAAGUAGAUGGCCAUCGCCGCGAGGUCCUAUUUAACGUGGGAGAUCGAGUUUACUUGAAAAUUCGUCCUUACCGCCAAAGGACUUUGGCGAGGAAAAUCAAUGAGAAGCUGUCUGCUCGAUAUUACGGGCCUUUUGAAGUGUUGUCGCGUGUGGGAGAGGUGGCUUACCGCCUUAAACUACCAGCGGAAGCCAAGAUCCACAACACUUUUCAUGUGUCGCAGCUCAAGAAGGCAGUAGGAGACUCGGUACAGACGGUGGCCCUUCUGGUACAGCUAACGGCUGAAGGAGUGCUGGAAGCGCAACCAGAAACGGUGCUGGGGGUUCGCACUCAUCCAGUUACGGGUCAGGAAGAGGUUCUAAUACAGUGGAAGGGAAUGCCUGCAUAUGAAAGUUCUUGGGAGUGGAAGAAAGUCAUUCAGGGACAGUUCCCUGAGUUUGACCUUGAGGACAAGGUCAAUUUAGCAGCGGGGAGUAAUGUUAGACAUGAGAGUUUGAGACCACCUAUUCUGUUUGAGUAUACGAGGAGGAAGAAGGUGAGUCAGCAAAAUGAGAACGUUGAGGUUAUGGAUGACGCAUGUGACGUGGAAAGGGAGGUUGUUGGAAACACCUGAGCUCUAGGGACUAAUAAGGAAUAAAGGGAAUCAGGGGUGAUGCGCUGGCAUGUCGGUUAGCAAGAGCACAUGGGAUGUUGGAUCGGGAGACUGCUUUAUAUAUUUGCAUAAUGAUUGCAUUUGUCUUUUAUCAAGAGAUUUGAUCAAGUUGUUAAACGGGGGAGGAGAGAGACUCCCAAUAUUAAUUCUCUCAAACCUUGUAAUCGACUUUAUCAUUUCUAUAUAAUCAUCAUUUCCUUACAACUCAUAACACAGACUUUCACGGUUAAUGCAGAAUUUUUUCAAUCUAGUGCACCUAAAUCCUAACUCCUCUGACGGAACAUUCUUGAGUAUCUAUGAAGCACGGGGACGUCAAAGUGAUUGAGGUAUCCGCACAGGAGACGUUUCCGGGACGGGAACACUGGGGGACGGCACGGGAAGAAAACAUUUAACUAUGGAAUGUUUCUGAACGGUUGGUUUUAAUAUUUCCUUUCUUAAGCUUGAAGUCUAAACUAGAUUUUGAAUUUACAGCCUUUUUUCUAAUGUUUUAGUUUAUAAACUUUUCACUAGACAAGAUUUACAAUGAUAUUUUUAUCGUAAAAUUAAUAAAACAAGAGAGAGAGAGCUUGAUGUGAGUGACUUUCUUAUCUCUUAUAUAUUAAAAAAGAAGCAUUGUAAUAAAUGCGUUCACACUAAAAUGGACAUGUGUCAUAUGUAGAGAGCUUCUCAGCCAAACUUAUAUAGAUAUGUUCACACUAUGUAUUUUACGUUUUUUAAAUAUAAAACUCACAUGCAUAGUUUUUUUUUACGUUUUUUUACUAUUUACGAAUAGACCUGGACAAAUUAUUCAUAAAUUUUGAUUCGAUUUGUUAUUCGUUUUGAUUCGAACCGAAAAAAUCUGGAUAUUUGUUACUCUACGAAGCAAAUCAAAUACUAAAAUGCAAUAUCCGUAUAAAAAACAAAUCACAAAAUAUCAAUAUUUAUAGGGACGGAUAUCUAAUUUGAUCUGUUAUAUGCAUAUAUAUAUACAUAUAUUUAAAGAAUUAUAUAUAAGUUAUAUAUUAUAGUUUGUAUAAAUUUUACAAUAUUUUUGUUUUUAAAUAAUUUCAUUUUAAGAAUUUUAUUUUUCAUGUAUUAUUUUGAAAAAAAUUGUCAUUUAAUAUUAAUUGAAGAUAUAUAUGGUUGUUGUGGAUGUGGACAAGAAGAUAUAUAUGGUUGUUGCUUUGUUUUAUGUUGACUACAUUAUGGUGAGAUAAGAUAUAUAUGGUUGUUGUGGAUGUGGACAAGAAGAUAUAUAUGGUUGCUGCUUUGUUUUAUGUUGACUACAUUAUGGUGAGGGAUGGUUGUUGCUGUAUUUUAUGGUGUUCACAUUGGAGUUGUACUUAAGGAGACUAGUCCCGAAAUGACAUGAAAUAAAAAGUAAUAAUAAAAGUGCAGUAGGGUAAAUGAUCGAAAUCAUAGUAAUCUUAAACACAAAAGCAUUAGGUGAUAACAUAGACGAAGAGUCUUGCAACAGAGUCGAAUAGCUUUCCGAAGCAAGACUGUCAGAUGGUUUGGAACUCCUUUGUGUCUCUGAGAACAUGACGAAGGAAUGGUAGGAUCUCCGGUGAAGAAUAUAUGUUAAGUUUGUUGAUGGGGAACCUAUCAGUCGCAAAUAGCCUCAACAGGAGACGAGGAUCCGGUUGCAUGGUUCCUGAAAAGAGAGAGGAGAAACACAUUAGUAGUUAGUGAUGAGUAAUCACCUUCGAUUUCGUAGAGGCGAGCAAACCUCUGUAAAAACGGAGAAGAAAAUCGGAGGAAAAAUAAAAAAAAAACAAGAAAAUUGUAACUUUGUUCAACAAAAACACCCAGAAAUGUGAACCUGUAAACACCAUAAGAAGAAGGUAACUGAAAAUCUGUUGUAAUUGAAGAGAUGAACCGAUAAACCGAAAAUCCCCAAAAAUGGUUUCACCAAACCCUAGAAUUGAAAUUGAAGAGAUGAACGGGGCUACUCCUGAAAUUAUGAAAAAAGAUUAAACCUUUACAAAAGAGGAAACAGAAGUGGGGGAAUACUAACCGGAGGACGACGGCGGUGGGUCUGAGUCCUGAGAAGCGGUGUUCUUCUUCUUCUCCUUCGCCUGAGAAAAUGAGGGGGUUUUUUUCGCCAUUAGACUUCGUCGACUCCGUGACAUAUCCGGUUGGUUUCCGGCGAUGAAUCUUCGUAAUCAACUCGAUUUCGAGAAUGGUGGAGCUAAGGUGUUUUUGGAAGAUUUGAAUGGUGGAGCUAAGGGGUUUUCGAGAAUGGUGGAGCUAAGUCUCUCUUGUUUCAAAUCUGUCUUGAUUUGUCCAACACAGAAUCAGAAAAAAAAAAAAAAAAUGUUGAACCAUGGUUACUUUAUUAGUGGAUAGGUAAGUGUGGUGAGGUCUAAAACGAGGGCAAGAGUGACUUUAGACAAAGGUAAUGUGUGCCCCAUGUGGGAUGUGUCUAAUGGAGUAAUUCAUAAGACAUAAUGUGUGUUAGAGUGUAAAAAAAUCAUAUCAAAAUAAACACAAACUGUAUAUGAUUUAUAAAUCCAGAUAAUGAUGACUUCACAUAUUCGUCGUAUCAAGUUGCCCAAAAUACAAUAGUCACAAUUCUAUUAUGACGUGGCAAUGUUUAAAUAAGAAUCUCCACGUGGCAGUUGACAUGUACUCUUAUCAUGCUUCUGGUCCGUCGAUUGCCACAAAAGUUUAAAUCAACGGCUGAUAUUCAUCAACUUGCGCGUGUCGGAAGCGCGGGAAAGUGUGGAACUCGUACGACAACAGGUGGGGAGCCUGAGUGCAACUCACGACACCUGCCAACCAAUCAAAACACGCCGCGUUAGCUUCCACUGUUGUUUCUCUCUCGUAAAGAACCAGAAAAUCUCAAACGAGAAGCAACAGCCUCAAGGACAUCGUGAUAACAUAACACGAUCGCUCAAGGCUCAAAGUCGACUUCAUCGAAGCUUUCAGGCAGGAGAGAGAGAUGGAAGCUUCCGGCGUCGUUCUCCGACAGAUUCCGUGUGUUUCAGGCUCCGUCACCGACGGCCGUUACUCCGGUCUCCGAUUUUCCGGCAACACGAGGACGACGGUCGGGUUUCGGACGAGGAGAUUCAGAGGGAUCAUGUGUAAUAACGAGUUUGCGGAUAACGGGCACAUGAGUUACUAUUCUGGGACGACGAGAUGUGGCGGUGAGGGGAAGGAUAAGGUGAAGGUUAUGGAGAAGGAGAAGAAGAAGGAGAUGAAGAAGAAAGCUAAGGUUCUUAAAGCUCUUUCGAAGAACUUGAACAUGUUCUCAAGCAUAGGGUUUGGUCUUGAUCCAGAGGCCGGUUUGGUCGCUGAGAUUCAAAACAAGACAAUCUCGGUAAGAAAUAUCAAAUGAUCUCUUUCAAGGUUUGAUUAUUUCUUGGUGGAUUUUGAUUGAAUUAUGAAUAUUAUACAGGAAGCAACAGAGAUUCUGGUUAAGCAGCUGGAUCAGUUGAAAGCAGAAGAGAAGCUUUUGAAGAAACAGAGGAAAGAAGAGAAGGCAAAAGCUAAAGCUUUGAAGAUGAUGACUGAAAUGGACUCUGAAUCUUCUUCUUCGUCCGAAUCAAGUGACAGUGAUUGUGGCAAGGGGAAGGUUGUUGACAUGAGCUCUUUGAGAAACAACGCUAAACCGGUUCUUGAGCCUUUACAACCAGAAUCUAGCGUAGCAACCCUUCCUAGAAACCAACAAGAUUCUUGCAAGAACACCACGGGUGAAGCAUUGAAGCUCGCUCUGCUGGAAUCAGCUGCUGCAACCACAGCCUUUCCCUCAGUUGUUAAUCCUGGAUUGCCAUUGAAGACGGUGGGAGCAGUUCCGGUUGUUGGAUUGCCGUUGAAGAGAGUAGAAGUCUGUAUGGGAGGCAAAUGCAAGAAAUCAGGAGGAGCUGUGUUGUUGGAUGAGUUUCAGAAGGCGAUGACUGGUAUUGAAGGAUCCGCUGUGGGUUGCAAG
rnacentral:lncRNA from 1 species